rnacentral:rRNA from 1 species
GGUUAAGCGACUAAGCGUACACGGUGGAUGCCCUGGCAGUCAGAGGCGAUGAAGGGCGUGCUAAUCUGCGAUAAGCGCCGGUAAGGUGAUAUGAACCGUUAUAACCGGCGAUACCCGAAUGGGGAAACCCAGUGUGAUUCGUCACACUAUCAUUAACUGAAUCCAUAGGUUAAUGAGGCGAACCGGGGGAACUGAAACAUCUAAGUACCCCGAGGAAAAGAAAUCAACCGAGAUUCCCCCAGUAGCGGCGAGCGAACGGGGAGGAGCCCAGAGCCUGAAUCAGCAUGUGUGUUAGUGGAAGCGUCUGGAAAGGCGCGCGAUACAGGGUGACAGCCCCGUACACAAAAGCGCAUGUGCUGUGAGCUCGAUGAGUAGGGCGGGACACGUGGUAUCCUGUCUGAAUAUGGGGGGACCAUCCUCCAAGGCUAAAUACUCCUGACUGACCGAUAGUGAACCAGUACCGUGAGGGAAAGGCGAAAAGAACCCCGGCGAGGGGAGUGAAAAAGAACCUGAAACCGUGUACGUACAAGCAGUGGGAGCACAGGUUUACCUGUGUGACUGCGUACCUUUUGUAUAAUGGGUCAGCGACUUAUAUUCUGUAGCAAGGUUAACCGAAUAGGGGAGCCGGAGGGAAACCGAGUCUUAAUUGGGCGUUAAGUUGCAGGGUAUAGACCCGAAACCCGGUGAUCUAGCCAUGGGCAGGUUGAAGGUUGGGUAACACUAACUGGAGGACCGAACCGACUAAUGUUGAAAAAUUAGCGGAUGACCUGUGGCUGGGGGUGAAAGGCCAAUCAAACCGGGAGAUAGCUGGUUCUCCCCGAAAGCUAUUUAGGUAGCGCCUCGUGAAUUCAUCUCCGGGGGUAGAGCACUGUUUCGGCUAGGGGGCCAUCCCGGCUUACCAACCCGAUGCAAACUGCGAAUACCGGAGAAUGUUAUCACGGGAGACACACGGCGGGUGCUAACGUCCGUCGUGAAGAGGGAAACAACCCAGACCGCCAGCUAAGGUCCCAAAGUCAUGGUUAAGUGGGAAACGAUGUGGGAAGGCCCAGACAGCCAGGAUGUUGGCUUAGAAGCAGCCAUCAUUUAAAGAAAGCGUAAUAGCUCACUGGUCGAGUCGGCCUGCGCGGAAGAUGUAACGGGGCUAAACCAUGCACCGAAGCUGCGGCAGCGAACGUAUCACUUAAAGCGAUUCAGCGGGUUACGAUUGACGGAGCGAAGCGACGUCAAAGCGUAUACAAAGUCGAGUCGGUUUAAGGAUACGUUCGUUGGGUAGGGGAGCGUUCUGUAAGCCCGUGAAGGUGGCCUGUGAGGGUUGCUGGAGGUAUCAGAAGUGCGAAUGCUGACAUAAGUAACGAUAAAGCGGGUGAAAAGCCCGCUCGCCGGAAGACCAAGGGUUCCUGUCCAACGUUAAUCGGGGCAGGGUGAGUCGACCCCUAAGGCGAGGCCGAAAGGCGUAGUCGAUGGGAAACGGGUUAAUAUUCCCGUACUUGGUGUUACUGCGAAGGGGGGACGGAGAAGGCUAUGUUGGCCGGGCGACGGUUGUCCCGGUUUAAGCGUGUAGGUGUGUGUUCCAGGUAAAUCCGGUUCACUUUAACACUGAGGCGUGACGACGAGGCACUACGGUGCUGAAGCAACAAAUGCCCUGCUUCCAGGAAAAGCCUCUAAGCAUCAGGUAACAUCAAAUCGUACCCCAAACCGACACAGGUGGUCAGGUAGAGAAUACCAAGGCGCUUGAGAGAACUCGGGUGAAGGAACUAGGCAAAAUGGUGCCGUAACUUCGGGAGAAGGCACGCUGACACGUAGGUGAAGUGAUUUACUCAUGGAGCUGAAGUCAGUCGAAGAUACCAGCUGGCUGCAACUGUUUAUUAAAAACACAGCACUGUGCAAACACGAAAGUGGACGUAUACGGUGUGACGCCUGCCCGGUGCCGGAAGGUUAAUUGAUGGGGUCAGCGCAAGCGAAGCUCCUGAUCGAAGCCCCGGUAAACGGCGGCCGUAACUAUAACGGUCCUAAGGUAGCGAAAUUCCUUGUCGGGUAAGUUCCGACCUGCACGAAUGGCGUAAUGAUGGCCAGGCUGUCUCCACCCGAGACUCAGUGAAAUUGAACUCGCUGUGAAGAUGCAGUGUACCCGCGGCAAGACGGAAAGACCCCGUGAACCUUUACUAUAGCUUGACACUGAACAUUGAGCCUUGAUGUGUAGGAUAGGUGGGAGGCUUUGAAGUGUGGACGCCAGUCUGCAUGGAGCCGACCUUGAAAUACCACCCUUUAAUGUUUGAUGUUCUAACGUGGACCCGUAAUCCGGGUUGCGGACAGUGUCUGGUGGGUAGUUUGACUGGGGCGGUCUCCUCCUAAAGAGUAACGGAGGAGCACGAAGGUUGGCUAAUCCUGGUCGGACAUCAGGAGGUUAGUGCAAUGGCAUAAGCCAGCUUGACUGCGAGCGUGACGGCGCGAGCAGGUGCGAAAGCAGGUCAUAGUGAUCCGGUGGUUCUGAAUGGAAGGGCCAUCGCUCAACGGAUAAAAGGUACUCCGGGGAUAACAGGCUGAUACCGCCCAAGAGUUCAUAUCGACGGCGGUGUUUGGCACCUCGAUGUCGGCUCAUCACAUCCUGGGGCUGAAGUAGGUCCCAAGGGUAUGGCUGUUCGCCAUUUAAAGUGGUACGCGAGCUGGGUUUAGAACGUCGUGAGACAGUUCGGUCCCUAUCUGCCGUGGGCGCUGGAGAACUGAGGGGGGCUGCUCCUAGUACGAGAGGACCGGAGUGGACGCAUCACUGGUGUUCGGGUUGUCAUGCCAAUGGCACUGCCCGGUAGCUAAAUGCGGAAGAGAUAAGUGCUGAAAGCAUCUAAGCACGAAACUUGCCCCGAGAUGAGUUCUCCCUGAGACUUAGAGUCUCCUGAAGGAACGUUGAAGACGACGACGUUGAUAGGCCGGGUGUGUAAGCGCAGCGAUGCGUUGAGCUAACCGGUACUAAUGAACCGUGAGGCUUAACCUU